GACGAACGCUGGCGGCGUGCUUAACACAUGCAAGUCGAACGGAAAGGCCCUGCUUUUGUGGGGUGCUCGAGUGGCGAACGGGUGAGUAACACGUGAGUAACCUGCCCUUGACUUUGGGAUAACUUCAGGAAACUGGGGAUAAUACCGGAUAGGAGCUCCUGCUGCAUGGUGGGGGUUGGAAAGUUUCGGCGGUUGGGGAUGGACUCGCGGCUUAUCAGCUUGUUGGUGGGGUAGUGGCUUACCAAGGCUUUGACGGGUAGCCGGCCUGAGAGGGUGACCGGCCACAAUGGGACUGAGGUACGGCCCAGACUCCUACGGGAGGCAGCAGUGGGGAAUAUGGCACAGUGGGCGGAAGCGUGAUGCAGCAACGCCGCGUGCGGGAUGACGGCCUUCGGGUUGUAAACCGCUUUCGCCUGUGACGAAGCGUGAGUGACGGUAAUGGGUAAAGAAGCACCGGCUAACUACGUG
rnacentral:rRNA from 1 species